UGGGGAAUAUUGCACAAUGGGCGCAAGCCUGAUGCAGCGACGCCGCGUGAGGGAUGACGGCCUUCGGGUUGUAAACCUCUUUCACCAGGGACGAAGCGCAAGUGACGGUACCUGGAGAAGAAGCACCGGCCAACUACGUGCCAGCAGCCGCGGUAAUACGUAGGGUGCGAGCGUUGUCCGGAAUUACUGGGCGUAAAGAGCUCGUAGGUGGUUUGUCGCGUUGUUCGUGAAAACUCACAACUCAAUUGUGGGCGUGCGGGCGAUACGGGCAGACUAGAGUACUGCAGGGGAGACUGGAAUUCCUGGUGUAGCGGUGGAAUGCGCAGAUAUCAGGAGGAACACCGGUGGCGAAGGCGGGUCUCUGGGCAGUAACUGACGCUGAGGAGCGAAAGCGUGGGGAGCGAACAGGAUUAGAUACCCUGGUAGUCCACGCCGUAAACGGUGGGUACUAGGUGUGGGUUCCUUCCUUGGGAUCCGUGCCGUAGCUAACGCAUUAAGUACCCCGCCUGGGGAGUACGGCCGCAAGGCUAAACUCAAAUGAAUUGACGGGGUCAUAGCUG
rnacentral:rRNA from 1 species